CAGUAAAUAGUUUAUUAAAAUAUUAAUUUUGGAGGUUAAAGAUGAUUAUUUCUUUACUGA
rnacentral:tRNA from 1 species